UACGUAGGGUGCAAGCGUUGUCCGGAAUUAUUGGGCGUAAAGAGCUCGUAGGCGGCCUGUUGCGUCCGCUGUGAAAUCCCGGGGCUCAACCCUGGGCGUGCAGUGGAUACGGGCAGGCUGGAGGCAGGCAGGGGAGAACGGAAUUCCUGGUGUAGCGGUGAAAUGCGUAGAGAUCGGGAGGAACACCAGAGGCGAAGGCGGCGACCUGGACAGUUACUGACACUCAACUGCGAAAGCGUGGGGAGCAACAGG
rnacentral:rRNA from 1 species